GACGAACGCUGGCGGCGUGCCUAAUACAUGCAAGUAGAACGCUGAAGCGAGGAGCUUGCUCUUCUUGGAUGAGUUGCGAACGGGUGAGUAACGCGUAGGUAACCUGCCUGGUAGCGGGGGAUAACUAUUGGAAACGAUAGCUAAUACCGCAUAAAAUGGUUUAUCGCAUGAUAAUCCAUUGAAAGGUGCAAAUGCAUCACUACCAGGUGGAACUGCGUUGUAUUAGCUAGUUGGUGGGGUAACGGCUCACCAAGGCGACGAUACAUAGCCGACCUGAGAGGGUGGUCGGCCACACUGGGACUGGGACACGGCCCAGACUCCUUCGGGAGGCAGCAGUAGGGAAUCGUCGGCAAUGGACGGAAGUCUGACCGAGCAACGCCGCGGGAGGGAAGAAGGUUUUCGGGUCGUAAAGCUCUGUUUUAAGGGAAGAAAGAGUGUGAGAGUGGAAAGUUCACGCUGUGACGGUAUCUUACCAGAAAGCGACGGCUAACUACGUG
rnacentral:rRNA from 1 species